CACGUAGGGCGCAAGCGUUGUCCGGAAUUAUUGGGCGUAAAGAGCUCGUAGGCGGUCUGUUACGUCUGCUGUGAAAAUCCGGGGCUCAACCCCGGACUUGCAGUGGGUACGGGCAGACUAGAGUGUGGUAGGGGAGACUGGAAUUCCUGGUGUAGCGGUGGAAUGCGCAGAUAUCAGGAGGAACACCGAUGGCGAAGGCAGGUCUCUGGGCCACUACUGACGCUGAGAAGCGAAAGCAUGGGGAGCGAACAGG
rnacentral:rRNA from 1 species